ACGCAAAAGAAGCAAUGAUCCAAGACCAAGGGAAACGAAACGUUGGACGGGCGGAGAGCACGUGUCGACGGUGAGACGUGGAAGAAGAAGCAUGGUAGAUCAGUCACGAUCGAAGAACAUCGUAACCCGCUCGAGGAAAUAAUAUCGCGAGACUAACGGCAACACUCUUGAAGCUCUUGAGAAGGGUCGAUUUUAAUGGGACAACGUGCAUGAAGGAGGGCAACGUGUGAGAAGCUCAAGUUUACCGACCACUGUCAAGGAGAAUGUGAACUUGUACACGUUCCAAAGCGGAUAAAGACAUGUUUCCAUGCCAGAUGUCUAUUCUAAAGAAAUAUAUAUGUAGACAAGAACAGAUCAAAUCGAAAACGUUUCAGAAGAUAUCACAAACCAAUGGCUGUCACAUAAUUACCGAAUAACAUUUCUAUCACGCUGUCAUAUCUCACCUCUGAUAUCGAGCAUUCUCAAAUCACUCGUACGUUCUAUCGUUGACAGGCGUUUCAAUAUAGAAUCCUCGUUCAAUUCAUCGCUGUGUCAACAUCGAAACAAUUGCAUAAAAUAGCAUAACGCAACUAAACGACGAUAAACGAAGGAAAAGAAGACCAAUGUGAUUAAAAGUAACAGAUUGGUCGAUAAAAUUCAAUAACGUGAUGAUUUAUCGAAAAGAUUGAAGUUGCAAGAUGAAUCGAGAAGCCUAUCGAGGUCACGAUAAAAAAAGCGAAAUUUCAUGCUAAUAUCAGAAUACUCUACUAUCAGAUGAUGGUUGACAAUGUUGUAUACUUAUAACUAGGCUGCGGGUAUUUAUGCAUAUUUAUGUAUCAAAUAAAAUAUUUAUUUCACUUGCUAAAAGUUAUAACGAGC
rnacentral:misc_RNA from 1 species